rnacentral:rRNA from 1 species
UACGGGGGGGGCAAGCGUUGUUCGGAAUUACUGGGCGUAAAGGGGUGCGUAGGCGGUCUGUUAAGUUGGAUGUGAAACUCUGGGCUACAACCCAGAGCCCUGCAUCCAAAACUGGCAGGCUAGAGUUCUGGAGGGGGUAGCGGAAUUCCUGGUGUAGCGGUGAAAUUCGAUAGAUAUCAAGCGGAAACACCGGUGGCGAAGGCGGC